rnacentral:rRNA from 1 species
GAUGAACGCUGGCGGCGUGCCUAAUACAUGCAAGUCGAGCGAACGGACGAGAAGCUUGCUUCUCUGAUGUUAGCGGCGGACGGGUGAGUAACACGUGGAUAACCUACCUAUAAGACUGGGAUAACUUCGGGAAACCGGAGCUAAUACCGGAUGAUAUUUUGAACCGCAUGGUUCAAAAGUGAAAGACGGUCUUGCUGUCACUUAUAGAUGGAUCCGCGCUGCAUUAGCUAGUUGGUAAGGUAACGGCUUACCAAGGCAACGAUGCAUAGCCGACCUGAGAGGGUGAUAGGCCACACUGGAACUGAGACACGGUCAAGACGCCUAAGGGAGGCAGCAGUAGGGAAUCUUCCGCAAUGGGCGAAAGCCUGACGGAGCAACGCCGCGUGAGUGAUGAAGGUCUUCGGAUCGUAAAACUCUGUUAUUAGGGAAGAACAUAUGUGUAAGUAACUGUGCACAUCUUGACGGUACCUAAUCAGAAAGCCACGGCUAACUACGUG